rnacentral:rRNA from 1 species
GACGAACGCUGGCGGCGUGCUUAACACAUGCAAGUCGAACGCUGAAGCUCAGCUUGCUGGGUGGAUGAGUGGCGAACGGGUGAGUAACACGUGAGUAACCUGCCCUCUUCUUUGGGAUAACGCCCGGAAACGGGUGCUAAUACUGGAUAUUCACUGAUUCUCGCAUGGGGGUUGGUGGAAAGGUUUUUUCUGGUGGGGGAUGGGCUCGCGGCCUAUCAGCUUGUUGGUGGGGUGAUGGCCUACCAAGGCUUUGACGGGUAGCCGGCCUGAGAGGGUGACCGGUCACAUUGGGACUGAGAUACGGCCCAGACUCCUACGGGAGGCAGCAGUGGGGAAUAUUGCACAAUGGGCGAAAGCCUGAUGCAGCGACGCCGCGUGAGGGAUGGAGGCCUUCGGGUUGUAAACCUCUUUCGCUCAUGGCCAAGCCGCAGCGUUGGGUUGUGGUGAGGGUAGUGGGUAAAGAAGCGCCGGCUAACUACGUG